GACGAAGGGGGCUAGCGUUGUUCGGAAUUACUGGGCGUAAAGCGCGUGUAGGCGGUUGCCUAAGUCGGGUGUGAAAGCCUUGAGCUCAACUCAAGAAUUGCGCUCGGUACUGGGUGACUAGAGGACCGGAGAGGAUAGUGGAAUUCCCAGUGUAGUGGUGAAAUACGUAGAGAUUGGGAAGAACACCAGUGGCGAAGGCGGCUAUCUGGACGGUUUCUGACGCUAAGACGCGAAAGCGUGGGGAGCAAACAGG
rnacentral:rRNA from 1 species